rnacentral:rRNA from 1 species
UACGGAGGGUGCAAACGUUAUCCGGAUUCACUGGGUUUAAAGGGUGCGUAGGUGGUUCUGUAAGUCAGUUGUGAAAUCUCUGAGCUUAACUUGGAAACUGCCAUUGAUACUAUAGAUCUUGAAUACCGUGGAGGUCAGCGGAAUAUGUCAUGUAGCGGUGAAAUGCUUAGAUAUGACAUAGAACACCAAUUGCGAAGGCAGCUGGCUACACGAAUAUUGACACUGAUGCACGAAAGCGUGGGGAUCAAACAGG